rnacentral:SRP_RNA from 1 species
GCUGGGUGUGGUGGUGCACACCUGUAAUCCCAGCUACUCAGGAGGCUGAGGCAGGAAAAUCACUUGAACCCAGGAAGUGGAGGUUGCAGUGAGCCAAGAUUGUGCCACUGCACUCCAGCCUGGGUGACAGAGGGAGACUCUGUCUCAA